UCGGUGCCCCGCAGCAGGGGAGGUGAAAUGGUUUUUGUUAUUCGCUCUGUAACUGAAGCUGGCCACACCCGCUGGCAUCUGACUGAGUAGGAAAAAGGCCUCAGGGUGUCCUGUGCUGGGGACACCAGGUGACUGUACAGAGUCCAUGCCAGCUAGGAGAUCCCAGCAGGUGCAGGGCUGAAGAAAUGCGCAAGCGUGAAGGGUUUUCCUGCCUGGGCGGAGCUUCCAGAUUCCAGAUCUAAAAAUGAAGGUUACUGAGCUGGCAGGGUCUUGCGGUGAGGGGCAUCUGUUCUGGGGGACUAGAAUGAAUCUGGUCAGUUUGGACAUACGUAUCAUCAUCAAAGUGGCUGGGUCCCAGCAGAGUCCUAAUGGGAGCUGAGGGGCUGUCUCCAGUCUCUUGUGGGAUUCAGGCCUGGCUGAGGAAACAGCUCCCCCAGAGAGGCUACGGUGUCCAAGCACAACAGCAGUCGAGCACCUCCCUGGAUCUGAACCAGGGUGAAGCUGCAUUCCUGGGGCGCCAGCAACCUUGCCACGCCUGCUUCUCUGCACGUCCCGGAUCGCCCACUCCAAGGGGAACCACCAUCAGGCUGAGGCCUCUGCUGAAAGCCAAAGGGAGACCCCAGAGAAGAUGCCUUGCGACAGCCCUGGAGUCUGACUCUUCCGGCUCAUGGCAAGCUAGGGGGAGGUGAGGAAAGGGACACACUGCCAUUUACGUAGCCACUGCCAGGAGCCGAGCCCAGGGCACGUCCAUUCCCCCUCUGUGAGAUAAAAAGCACCAGCAUGUUUCAUUUA